rnacentral:rRNA from 1 species
UAACUCCGUGCCAGCAGCCGCGGUAAUACGGAGGGUGCGAGCGUAAUCGGAUACUGGGCGUAAAGCGUACGCAGCGCCAUUUAAGUCAGAUGUGAAAGCCCCUGGGCUCAACCUGGGAACUGCAUUUGAAACUGGAUGGCUAGAGUGCGACAGAGGGUGGUAGAAUUUCAGGUGUAGCGGUGAAAUGCGUAGAGAUCUGAAGGAAUACCAAUGGCGAAGGCAGCCACCUGGGUCGACACUGACACUCAUGUACGAAAGCGUGGGUAGCAAACAGGAUUAGAUACCCUGGUAGUCCACGCCGUAAACGAUGUCUACUAGCAGUUUGACUCUUAAGAGUUGUCUUGCGCAGCUAACGCAUUAAGUAGACCGCCUGGGGAGUACGGCCGCAAGGUUAAAACUCAAAUGAAUUGACGGGGGCCCGCACAAGCGGUGGAGCAUGUGGUUUAAUUCGAUGCAACGCGAAGAACCUUACCAUCUCUUGACAUCCAUAGAAUUUAGCAGAGACGCUUUAGUGCCUUCGGGAACUAUGAGACAGGUGCUGCAUGGCUGUCGUCAGCUCGUGUUGUGAAAUGUUGGGUUAAGUCCCGCAACGAGCGCAACCCUUAUCCUUAGUUGCCAGCACGUAAUGGUGGGAACUCUAAGGAGACUACCGGUGACAAACCGGAGGAAGGUGGGGACGACGUCAAGUCAUCAUGGCCCUUACGAGAUGGGCUACACACGUGCUACAAUGGCAAGUACAAAGGGUUGCAAACUCGCGAGAGUAAGCGGAUCCCAUAAAGCUUGUCGUAGUCCGGAUUGGAGUCUGCAACUUGACUCCAUGAAGUCGGAAUCGCUAGUAAUCGUGGAUCAGAAUGCCACGGUGAAUACGUUCCCGGGCCUUGUACACACCGCCCGUCACACCAUGGGAGUGGGCUGCAAAAGAAGUAGGUAGCUUAACCUUCGGGAGGGCGCUUACCAC